AUGGAGUCAGGGUUUGCAGUACAGACCCCCGCAGUCUUGGACCAUAUAAUCGCGGUGGACAUGAUGGAGGCGCCCAGGUUGCGCCUCAACACCGGCAGCUGACUCAGUUCAUCGACAAGCCUGUCUGCUUCAUAGGGAAGCUGGAAAAGAUUCAUCCCACCAGAAAAACGUUUAUUCUUUCAGAUGAGGAAGGAAAAUAUGGAACCAUUGAGUUGAUGGAACCCCUUGAUGAAGAAAUAUCUGGAAUUAUGGAAGUGGUUGGAAAAGUAACUGCCAAGAUGACCAUCAUGGGUACAUCUUAUGUCCAGUUUAAAGAAGAUAACCAACCUUUUGACCUUGGACUUUACAAUGAAGCUGUGAAAAUGAACCAUCAGUUCCCUCAGUUUUAUCCUUUAGGGAUUAUGCAACAUGAUUGAUCCUGAUGGAUUUUCAUAUGAUUGCAAAUGAGCUAUAUUAAAGACUAGUAAAGGA